ACAAAUAAUUUUCUAAUCAUAAUACAACAUAGAAGCAACAACUACCACUGUAGCAAAGCGAAACACAAAAAUCGGGGCUUCAAAUUUGAAUUUUCCAGCAGUAUCCAACAGGAUACCAGCAACUUAAAAUCUGGUAUUCCACCCAGAAAAUCUAGUAUCUCACAUUUGAUUAAUAAACUAUUUUUGUAUUCUGACCAGAAUUUUUUCGGUAUCACUUGGGAGACUUAGCUUGUGAUUUCCAGUAUGCAUCUGGAUAUAGGGAUAACACAAAUUUCAAGGCCUGCAAAAACUGGUAUUGAAUUUGCAUGUCACAAUGAAUUCCUAUAUAUUUGAAUAAUACAAAUGGUUAAAAAAUUGCAUUAUAUAAUUAGAUUUUAUUUCCGGCUUUGACAGGCACGGAUUUUCUGGGGGAGUGUGCAUCCCCCCCCCCAGAAAUGAUUUACACCCCACCCAGAGGCAUUUGGCACCGCCUCCAAUAGUUUUUGCACCCCCACAAAUUAUAUAUAUUUUGAUUUGAUAGUUUCAUAUUUGAUUAUUCUUACUACUAAAUUUGUAAAAUUACAAUAUUAUGGUCUGCCAUGCAGGCCUAGAAAACAAAUUUUGUUAAACUUUUUUCUUGGCCUUUCUAGGCCCCAGCCAAAGCAAGCAGCAUCCCCCCAGAUAUUUAUCCACCCCACCCCCGAACGAAAAUAUGCAACUCUGGGUUUUGCUACUGUUAUAUAAUAAACAACGCUGGCCGACGACAGGGGGAUCAUUCACAUGAGCAAAUUAAACAACAUUUUGUAUUCAUGCAUGCUGAUUGUUAAUACAGCUGAUUCAAUUAAGGUUGUCCUUCUAAAACCUUUAAACUCUGAGCGUGCAAGGGAUGAUGGGUUUUCACUUAUUAGACC